AUUGAACGCUGGCGGCAGGCCUAACACACGCAAGUCGAGCGGAUGAAGGGAGCUUGCUCCUGGAUUCAGCGGCGGACGGGUGAGUAAUGCCUAGGAAUCUGCCUGGUAGUGGGGGAUAACGUCCGGAAACGGGCGCUAAUACCGCAUACGUCCUGAGGGAGAAAGUGGGGGAUCUUCGGACCUCACGCUAUCAGAUGAGCCUAGGUCGGAUUAGCUAGUUGGUGGGGUAAAGGCCUACCAAGGCGACGAUCCGUAACUGGUCUGAGAGGAUGAUCAGUCACACUGGAACUGAGACACGGUCCAGACUCCUACGGGAGGCAGCAGUGGGGAAUAUUGGACAACGGGCGAAAGCCUGAUCCAGCCAUGCCGCGUGUGUGAAGAAGGUCUUCGGAUUGUAAAGCACUUUAAGUUGGGAGGAAGGGCAGUAAGUUAAUACCUUGCUGUUUUGACGUUACCAACAGAAUAAGCACCGGCUAACUUCGUG
rnacentral:rRNA from 1 species